rnacentral:rRNA from 1 species
GAUGAACGCUGGCGGCGUGCCUAAUACAUGCAAGUCGAGCGAACGGACGCGACGCUUGCUUCUCUGUUGUUAGCGGCGCACGGGAGAGUAACACGUGGAUAACCUACCUAUAAGACUGGGAUCACUUCGGGAAACCGGCGCUAAUACCGGAUAAUAUUUUGAACCGCAUUGUUCAAUAGUGAAAUACGGUCUUGCUGUCACUUAUAGCUGGAUCUCCGCUGCAUUGGCUAGUUGGUAAGGUAACGGCUUACCAAGGCUACGAUGCAUAGCCGACGUGAGAGGGUGAUCGGCCACCCUGGAACGUAGACACGGUCCAGACUACUGAGGGAGGCAGCAGUAGGGAAUCGUCCGCAAUGGGCGAGAGCCUUGCGGAGCAACGCCGCGUGAGUGAUGAAGAUCUUCGGAUCGUAAAACUCUGUUAUUAGGGAAGAACAGAUGUGUAAGUAACUGUACACAGCUUGACGGUACCGAAUCAGAAAGCCACGGCUAACUACGUG